UACGGAGGGUGCGAGCGUUGUCCGGAAUCACUGGGCGUAAAGGGCGCGUAGGCGGCAGACCAAGCGUGCGGUGAAAGUCCGGGGCUCAACCCCGGAUCUGCCGUGCGGACUGGUUUGCUAGAGCACUGUAGAGGCGAGUGGAAUUCCGGGUGUAGCGGUGGAAUGCGUAGAGAUCCGGAAGAACACCGGUGGCGAAGGCGGCUCGCUGGGCAGUGGCUGACGCUGAGGCGCGACAGCGUGGGGAGCAAACAGG
rnacentral:rRNA from 1 species